CUCUAUAUUUAGUGUUGUGGUGUCUCUAUAUUUAGUGUUGUGGUGUCUCUCUAUAUUUAGUGUUGUGGUGUCUCUCUAUAUUUAGUGUUGUGGUGUCUCUCUUUAAGUAAUGUUGUGGUGUCUCUCUAUAUGUAAUGUUGUGGUGUCUCUCUAUAUGUAAUGUUGUGGUGUCUCUAUAUGCAAUGUUGUGGUGUCUCUAUAUUUAGUGUUGUGGUGUCUCUAUAUUUAGUGUUGUGGUGUCUCUAUAUUUAGUGUUGUGGUGUCUCUAUAUUUAGUGUUUGUUGUGGUGUCUCUCUAUAUGUAGUGUUGUGGUGUCUCUCUAUAUGUAGUGUUGUGGUGUCUCUCUAUAUUUAGUGUUGUGGUGUCUCUCUAUAUUUAGUGUUGUGGUGUCUCUCUAUAUUUAGUGUUGUGGUUUCUCUCUAUAUUUAGUGUUGUGGUGUCUCUCUAUAUUUAGUGUUGUGGUGUCUCUCUAUAUUUAGUGUUGUGGUGUCUCUCUAUAUUUAGUGUUGUGGUGUCUCUCUAUAUUUAGUGUUGUGGUGUCUCUCUAUAUUUAGUGUUGUGGUGUCUCUCUAUAUUUAGUGUUGUGGUGUCUCUCUAUAUUUAGUGUUGUGGUGUCUCUAUAUUUAGUGUUUGUUGUGGUGUCUCUAUAUUUAGUGUUGUGGUGUCUCUAUAUUUAGUGUUGUGGUGUCUCUCUAUAUUUAGUGUUGUGGUGUCUCUCUGUAUGUAGUGUUGUGGUGUCUCUCUAUAUGUAGUGUUGUGGUGUCUCUAUAUAUUUAGUGUUGUGGUGUCUCUAUAUAUUUAGUGUUGUGGUGUCUCUAUAUAUUUAGUGUUGUGGUGUCUCUAUAUAUA
rnacentral:lncRNA from 1 species